CUUUUUCUCAGUUAUGUGCAUCACUGAUCCCUUUCUGUUGACAAUAUUGUCCUAGUAUAUUGCACUACUUAUUUUCAGGAGACUCAAACUAGCAUAUGCAAAAUUCUAAGACUCUGACACAAACUAGACUAUGUCAAGACUUUCAACCAACAAACGACAUUUUAUCAUGGCUGAGGAAUUAUAAACAGAAAGAAAUAAAAAAAGUGAAGAACUAGAAAAUGGCUGUAAAAUAUCACAAUUAAGAAGUUUGACACAAUUCUCUGUGGCCAGAUACCAACACAACUCUUGGCCUACAUUUUACCCCCAGGAUAUUAUGAGAGAUACUGAAAAAAUCCUUAGAUAAAUUCCUUCAAUUGAACUGAAUAAAAGAGGCACAGAAAACAGAAUCUUAAAAAGCAGAAUGAGUUAUCUUUCAAGCAGAUGGAAUUCAGCUCACAUUUUACUUCAAACUCGGCAAGAAAACAGGAAGAAAGAAAUGAAUGAAGGAAAGAUGAAAGGAAAAAGAAAAAGAAUGAGCAAGCAAGAGAAAGAGGCGAAAGAAAAAAGGUAGGAAAGAAGGGAAGGAAGGAGGAGGGAGAGAGGAAAGAAAGGUGAAAGGAGGGAGGGAAGGAAGGAGGGAGGGAGGGAAAGAAGGAAGAUUC
rnacentral:lncRNA from 13 species